rnacentral:RNase_P_RNA from 1 species
AGAGUAAGUUGUUUCAUCACGAGAGGAAUACCGAAAGGCUCCUUUUGAGGAAAGUCCGGGCACCGCAGGGCAGGAUGCCGGCUAACAGCCGGUGAAGGCGACUUUAAGGAUAGUGCCACAGAAACAAACCGCCCUGAGCUUUUUCAGGGUAAGGGUGGAACGGUGCGGUAAGAGCGCACCGGCGGCUUGGUAACAAGUCGGCCAGGUAAACCCCAUCCGGUGCAAGAUCGAAUAGGAAGGCGUGGGAGUUGCCCGCUCUGCCUUCGGGUAUGGUCGCGUGAACCCUUUGGCAACAAAGGGUCAAGAUAGAUGAUGAAAAAAACAGAACCCGGCUUAUAGACUUGCUCUUUGA